GAUAGUUCCCUAGCAAAUGUUAUGAGUAAUUAGAAUUUUGUGGGUAAACCAAUUUUGUAGGGUGAUGUUUAUUAGAGGGUAUCGAAUAAAUAAAGACAGCGAUAGGAGGAGUACUGAGAAGGAAAGGUGAGAUAGCGUGAUAUUAAUAAAAGUAGACCUAGUGUUGUACCUUUUGUAUCAGGGUUCAUCAAUUAAAUUAGAGGAUUCUUACAUCUCGAUACAAAGAGAGCUAUAAGAGUAAAUCAGUUAUUGUGGCAACACUAUUGACCAUACUUUUAUAGGAAUGAAACAUUAGCCGAUCUUUGUGGUAUCUAGUUUCUUAAGAAAUGGAUUUAAUCCAGGGGUUGUAGAGCGUAAGGAAUUAUUACUUACCCUUAAAUAACCACUAAAAUGAAGGGGGAUAAGCUCCUUCAUGAUCUAUACGACUUAAUUUUUGGAGAAUAGGUAAGCUUGAAAGUAGCCAUCCUUUAAAAAAUGUUACAGUUUAUUCUCUUGGGAUUGAAUUUUAAGAGGUUUAGAGAAAUAUUAAGAAAAUACUUUUAACUGGAAAGUAAGAUAUAAUGAUGGAAUAAGUAAUAGUUUUAGGAAAAUGAAUUCCCAAUAAGGAACUCGGCAAAUUUAAUGCUCGCCUGUUUAUCAAAAACACCGCCUCUCGAAGUUUAUGGAAGGUCUAGCCUGCCCACUGAAGGAUAUAAAGGGCCGCGGUAUUUUGACCGUGCAAAGGUAGCAUAAUCAUUAGUCUUCUAAUUAAAGGCUGGAAUGAAUGGCUGGACGAGGUAUUAGCUGUCUCUUAGGGAUAAAUUUGAAUUUAACCUUCUAGUGAAAAGGCUGGAAUAAAAUUGGAGGACGAGAAGACCCUAUAGAGCUUUACACUUUCCUAGAUCUUAAUUCGUUUAGUAGGAGUUAAUUUUUGUGUGGGGAGUGUUUCGUUGGGGUGACGAGAAGAUAGAAGAAACUCUUCUUUAAAUAAACCACUAAUGAGUGAUUUAAUUGAUCCAUUUUUAAUGAUUAAAAGACUAAGUUACCUUAGGGAUAACAGCGUAAUCUUUUUUGAGAGUUCUAAUCGACAAAAAGGGUUGCGACCUCGAUGUUGGACUAAGGAUUAUUCUUGGGUGCAGAAGUUCAAGGUUUAGGUCUGUUCGACCUUUGAAUCCUUACAUGAUCUGAGUUCAGACCGGCGUAAGCCAGGUCGGUUUCUAUCCUCAAUUGUGAGAAAUAUUUUAGUACGAAAGGACCAAAUAUUAGAGAUAAUCUCGAGAUGAGAAUACUAUU
rnacentral:rRNA from 1 species